GGUUUUUUCCGAGGAAUACUAGUUUCCUCGGUAUUCCGUCGGAAUAUUCCGACGAGAUGAAUUUUCCUCGGAAUUCCGUCGGAAUAUUCCGAGGAAAUUCCGAGGAAGCCAAAUUUUGUGUUUCCUCGGAAAUUCCUUGGUAUAUUCCGAGGAAUUCAUUUUCCGUCGGAACGUCCGUCAGAAUACCGCUGUUUUCUUGUAGUGAAUAUACCUAUUCUUAUGUACAAUGUAAACAAACUUGACUUAAAACAUUAUGAUUUAACCUAGCUGAACUAAGUGCGAGCAAAAAGAUUAUAUAUAAUCCUCGUUCCAAUCAUGAGAAUACUAUAGCCGGGGUUGUUGGCAGUUGGAUGUGUGGUAACAGUGAAUGCGAACACACAGACCAUAUCUGCUUGUUUUAAGAUAUGGUUUUAAAUGUCAAAACUCUAUUAUUAUCAUUUUCAAAAUUAGGUCAAAAACAUUAUUCACAAUUAUGAAGAAAGUGAUUUUACUGUUUGUUAUCACUUAAAUUAACUUUUUGUAACGGAUGAGCUGACCAAUGACAUUUUUUGUCAACUGACGAGUGACAUUAUACAGGGACCCCGAACACUUUCGUAUGUCAACUUAAUUUGCAAGUACCCAAGGUAUAAAAAAUCGUACUUAUUUGUUAUACACUAGAUAAAGACAUGCGUCUUACAGAGUGUGGAUAUAGUAUCAAUAAUAAAUUGUAAUUUUUUUUACAUAUAUUGUGUAUAAAUUGGAUUUUUCUUUAGUUAGUAAUAUUAAAAUAUUUUAAAAAUUGUGUAACGUAAAACCACACGAAUAUACUUUUUAAUAUUAAAAAAUUGAACCAAUAUGUAAUGUACAAUCUUACACAUAAUAGUUUUUAAAUAUUCACAAUGUGUUGGAUUAUUCAAUUUAUUUGAUUUACAUGGCCGUAUUGAUAGGGGGAAAAUAUUUGGACAUGAUUUAUUUGACUUGGACCAGGUUUGUUGUUUAAUGUUUGUAUUCUUAAUAAUUGUUGAUGGGUUUAUCGUCGACGACAUGUUAUUGGUCCUAACCUAUUGAGAAUGAAAAUCAUAUCCAAUUUCUUAGUUCUAAUUUAUCAGCAAGCAAAACAAAAUAAAAUUGUUCAUCUUGUCUAUGUGAUUAAGAAAAAAGGAUUGGGAUUUACACGGUAAAAAUUUAACAUGUUUGACGUUCCCAGAAUCUUCAAACCAAAUCUUACCCAUAUGAUUCUUCUAUUAACAAUUUUUCUUUCCUUGUUGUUGCUUCUUCAUCGACAUCAACCAUCAUCUCCUCCGACAGUCUAUCAAGUGAAUUAGCUUCUCCCAUAAUUUUUGGGUUCUAACCUUUGCUUAUAUAAGUUGAAGAACAUACGAGAAUAUAUGCCUAAGAUUUUCCAAUUGUUAGCAUAUAAUUAGCUUGUCAAUCACUUAUACAAUUAAAAUUGUCAUAAGGCAUUAAACAUUAAUCCUAUCAAUACAUUCGUCCUUGACUUUAAAGCAUUGUAAAGGUAUAGGCAAUAUUUAGGAAUCACCCUAAUAUCAUUCCCAUAUAUAAAGAUUACCGUUCAGUUGAAUUAUUUCAUAUAGUUAAUACUAUAUAUAUAUAUGUUUUUCUAAAAUAAAAGAUGGCAACUUAGACUAUAUUAACGGGAUGAAUACACAAUAUAGACUAUAUUCAUUCUUACUUUUCUUGUAUACAUCUGUAUCAGAUAGUAAACCAAUUUUUAUUUGGUAUGUUUAACGGUUAACCACAUUGUUCGAAUUACAAUUCUGUUUGUGAUAACCGUUUGUCAAAUUUAUGAAUGUGACAUAUUGUGUUGUUUACUGCAUUUUUAUCUAACUUUUAUGAAUAUAAUGUUCCACUGAUUUUAUGUGUUUACAUAAAAUGGUUUAGUGGUCUUCUAUGGUCUCAACAGGUUCUGAUAUCAUUGCAUAUAGUAUUUUAAAAAAUGUUCAGAAUAGUUUCUUAUAUACUCAUAUUUUAGUCUAUCUACGGUUUAAAUAUGUGUUCUUUUUACAAUCUCAUAUGCAUAUGUUGCUUUAACUACAUGCGAAAGAUGACGAGUAAGUAUGGCAAAUAUGGAGUUUACGUGUUUAUAACGUGCAAAAUAUUAGAUUUAUUAGAAAAUAUUGUAUAAUUUAAUGUUUAAUAUUUAAUUUUAAUGUAAAUGGGAAAACGGCAAUAGUAGAAUGAAUGUUAGUAACAUAUUUUGUAAAUAAUGUAGUAAAGAAAGGGGAGUUAAUUAUUUAGGUUGAGAAUCAUUGUGAUAUUGACACCUAAGCAUGACAUGGAUGUAAAUAAAUUACAAAUUAAAUGUUACUCUCCCAAAAUGUAAAGAGAUUUUUUUUAUCAAGACCAACAAUCCAACCAAUUUAAUUUUCUUUGAAUAAUAUAUACACACAAUCAAAUCUAACAAAUGUUUCCAGUAACAAAUUUUUUAUAAAGCUAUAAAUAGGGAUUAUUCAUAGUAAUGAGGGGCAUCAAAAAGAAACAUACAUAGAAGAUACACAAAACUAAAAAAAAAAAAGAUGGAGAAGAAGUGUAUAUCUAUGUUGAUGAUUAUGUUCAUUGCAUUGACGAUGAUGCCAUUACAAUCAAUGAGUGAAUCGUAUGAAGCUUGUUAUGAUAGGUGCAUUUCUUCGUGCCAGAUAUUUUUUGAAGGAGUUGAUAAAUGCAUUCACGAUUGUGUUGGUAUCAAAUGUCAUAAAACACAAGAUGGCGGCUAAAGGGAUGUUUCAAGAAAUUCAUACAUAGAGAGAGAUAUGUUAUUAAACACACAUGAUGUUUAAGUUUACUACUAUCUGAUUUAUAUAAUUUUGAAUAAUAGAAUUCCUUCAUCAUUUAUAAAAUUCAACUAUUUUCACAACAUCAUCUAUUGCACAUU